rnacentral:rRNA from 1 species
CCCGACUGCUAUUUGGGUGAGAAUAAGCCAUGCGAGUUGAAUGGGAUACCUAAAUUUCCCAUAGCAAACUGCUCAGUAACACAUGAUCAACUUACCCUAUAGAGAAAAAUAACCUCGGGAAACUGAGGAUAAUGUUUCAUAAUUGAAUUGGCUUGGAAAAGUUUUUCAAUGAAAAGGAUAAAAAAAAUGGUUUUUAUCUGCUAUAGGAUAGGAUCGUGUUCGAUUAUGGUUGUUGGUGAGAUAAUGGCUCACCAAGCCGAUAAUCGAUAGGGGCCGUGAGAGCGGGAGCCCCGAGAUGGGUACUGAGACAACGACCCAGGCCUUACGAGGCGCAGCAGGCGCGGAACCUCCGCAAUACACGAAAGUGUGACGGGGUUACCCAAAGUGUUCAAUAGAACUGUGGUAGGUGAGUAAUGUCCCCUACUAGAAAGGAGAGGGCAAGGCUGGUGCCAGCCGCCGCGGUAAAACCAGCUCUUCAAGUGGUCGGGAUAAUUAUUGGGCUUAAAGUGUCCGUAGCCGGUUUAGUAAGUUCCUGGUAAAAUCGGGUAGCUUAACUAUCUGCAUGCUAGGAAUACUGCUAUACUAGAGGGCGGGAGAGGUCUGAGGUACUACAGGGGUAGGGGUGAAAUCUUAUAAUCCUUGUAGGACCACCAGUGGCGAAGGCGUCAGACUGGAACGCGCCUGACGGUGAGGGACGAAAGCCAGGGGAGCGAACCGGAUUAGAUACCCGGGUAGUCCUGGCCGUAAACGAUGCAUACUAGGUGAUGGUACGGCCAUGAGCCGUAUCAGUGCCGUAGGGAAACCGUUAAGUGUGCCGCCUGGGAAGUACGGUCGCAAGGCUAAAACUUAAAGGAAUUGGCGGGGAGCACCACAAGGGGUGAAGCCUGCGGUUC